rnacentral:misc_RNA from 1 species
UACCUAGCUUUAUUUUUUAGAGCUAGGUACCUCAUUUCAUAAAUUAAAGUGAUGGAAGACAACAAGAAAUGCUGCCAAUGCAAGUGCGAAUGCGCUAAGUGCAACAGCUGCUGUAAAAAGUAAGACAAAAUUUUUGUCUAACAACUAAAAAGCCAGUAACUAAACUGGCUUUUUUUAUUUGU